CUUCGAUCCGGCGAGGAUAGAUUCAAGACCUCUGUGUGUCUGGACCACCUCGAAGCUGCAAACCGCAGGAACAACAGUGACCUCUGCAUUGGAUUCACAGAAGGGUGUUUCAGGAGGAUUGAUGGCCUCUUUUGUUCCUUCUCCAAGCCCUGCUCGUGAAACAAAAGUGGAGAAAGCGAUGCAUGCGUGCUAAGACGCGAGGAGCAAAAACUAAAACCGAGGAUCCCAGCAGUGGUCAACCCUCGACUUAAAUACAAGAAGCUCUCGGCUAGCUCCCGGACACUGUAGCAGACUCGGACAGCUUUUCCUUCCGAGACUCAGCUUUUCAAACGGGGGAGCGAGAGGGAGCAAGCGAGAGCUCCGAUCCGAUCACCGCACCGCAAAGGCACCCGUGAUUUUUUUCUUGGCGUUACGUAGAAUCGCUUUUGGUCUGCCACCGCUUUUCCAAAGAGGUACCUUUAAUUCCUUUAUUUGUUUGGCUCUGGGGGAGUAUCAUGGGAGCACGUUUGGCUUCUGUCUGGCUAGAAAAAUUUAGAAGCUUUCAUCCUUAAACCGACUCAAAGCUUGACUUUGAUGUGGUUUUCCAGGUAUAAAAAGAUUAUCCUCGCAACUCGGGAUCAAAGUGUGCUCGUUUUCCCGUAGGAAUGAUGUCGUGUUUGACAAUGUAGGUGGUACGCAUGGGAAGAACUUGUAUGAGCAGUAGUAGCGAGUAUGCUGCCGACGGCCGUGAAUCUUGUACCCGUCCAUGAACUCGAGAGUCAGCCGGCAACAAGUGUUCCCCGAGUUUUCGAGAAUGAUGUGCUCCAGUCCGGUGAUCUCGCAGAACUCCACCGCUUGCAGGGACCAUCGGCAUCAAGCUGCUUGGUGUCUAAGUAGUCUUGAUGUCCCUGCAAUCACCAGUUUCAAUUCAAACAUAAUUCAAGACUAGCUCGUUGGAUC